rnacentral:lncRNA from 1 species
GGGAGCUCUACCUCAAUGGCAAUGAGCUGCAGUGUGGGGGUGCCAUUGAGCUGCUGAAACCUGUGGCUGAAAACAGCCAAAAACUGGCAGAGAUCCAAAACAGGACCACAUCCAUCACAGAUGAAACAGAGUUGAUCUCCCAAAGGAGCAAUUCCACAUCUUCCAGACAAAAGAAAGCAAAGAGCAAAGGGAAGAAGACAAAGAAGAAAAGAGAAAAAACCAAGAGCGGCCAUGGCGCCGCAGGAGGCCCGUGGCUAGAGAAGCUGCACAUGUGCGAUAAUUCCAUUGAUGGCUCAGGAAAGGAGGGACCAGAUCAACUAAAUCAAUUCCUGGAGAUCCUUUGCAUUAUAGUUAAGUUCUCCAGUUGCCUGACCGAACUGGAUCUUGGUGAGAAUCACAUUGGAGAAGAUGGUGCAAAAGUGUUUUUAGAGGCCCUGAGAGAGAGACAAGCAACUAAACUAUCUCCAAUAAAAAUCCAGGUUUCAACACGCAUGUCCGCAGAAACAUUCAGUGCUAUUUUGAAAAGUGCAAAGGAGCUUAAAUCUGGGAAAAAGAGACGAAAGACUAAGGGAAAAAAGAAGUAGUCCGUCUGGAGGAUAUUGAAGGACAUUGCUGACUGACACAAGAAUGUUUUUCCAGACUAUUUCUCCAUGUUUUCAAUUUGUCGCCACAGUUUUUUAGAAUAAUCUUUUUAUGUGGUCCGAGUUGCAUUUGACAACAGCCGUGCACCAAAUGUGACCGCACAGCAGACUCCCAG